rnacentral:rRNA from 1 species
GAUGAACGCUGGCUACAGGCUUAACACAUGCAAGUCGAGGGGAAACGACGGGGAAGCUUGCUUCCCCGGGCGUCGACCGGCGCACGGGGGAGUAACGCGUAUCCAACCUGCCUCUGACUGAUGGAUAACCCGUCGAAAGUCGGCCUAAUACCUCAUGGCAUCGUCUGCGGGCAUCCAACGACGAUUAAAGAUUUCAUCGGUCAGAGAUGGGGAUGCGUCUGAUUAGCUUGUUGGCGGGGUAACUGCCCACCAAGGCGACGAUCAGUAGGGGUUCUGAGAGGAAGGUCCCCCACAUUGGAACUGAGACACGGUCCAAACUCCUACGGGAGGCAGCAGUGAGGAAUAUUGGUCAAUGGGCGAGAGCCUGAAACAGCCAAGUAGCGUGCAGGAUGACGGCCCUAUGGGUUGUAAACUGCUUUUAUGUGGGGAUAAAGUGAGGGACGUGUCCUUCAUUGCAGGUACCGCAUGAAUAAGGACCGGCUAAUUCCGUG